AAUCAACGCUGGCGGCGUGCCUAACACAUGCAAGUCGAGCGCGAAUAGGGGGGUAACUCCCUUAGUAGAGCGGCGAACGGGUGAGUAACGCGUGGGUGAUCUACCUUCGAGUGGGGAAUAACACCGGGAAACUGGUGCUAAUACCGCAUGACAUCCUCGGUUCACUCCGGGGAUCAAAGCCGGGGACCGCAAGGCCUGGCGCUUGAAGAUGACGCCCGCGUCCGAUUAGCUAGUUGGCGGGGUAACGGCCCACCAAGGCGACGAUCGGUAGCCGGCCUGAGAGGGCGGACGGCCACACGUGGGACUGAGACACGGCCCAGACUCCGUACGGGAGGCAGCAGGUGGGGUAAUUUUUCGCAAGU
rnacentral:rRNA from 1 species